CCUACGGGUGGCAGCAGUGAGGAAUAUUGGUCAAUGGACGAGAGUCUGAACCAGCCAAGUAGCGUGAAGGAUGACUGCCCUAUGGGUUGUAAACUUCUUUUAUAUGGGAAUAAAAUGUUCCACGUGUGGGAUUUUGUAUGUACCAUAUGAAUAAGGAUCGGCUAACUCCGUGCCAGCAGCCGCGGUAAUACGGAGGAUCCGAGCGUUAUCCGGAUUUAUUGGGUUUAAAGGGAGCGUAGGUGGAUUGUUAAGUCAGUUGUGAAAGUUUGCGGCUCAACCGUAAAAUUGCAGUUGAAACUGGCAGUCUUGAGUACAGUAGAGGUGGGCGGAAUUCGUGGUGUAGCGGUGAAAUGCUUAGAUAUCACGAAGAACUCCGAUUGCGAAGGCAGUUCACUGGACUGCAACUGACACUGAGGCUCGAAAGUGUGGGUAUCAAACAGGAUUAGUUACCCGAGUAGUC
rnacentral:rRNA from 1 species